rnacentral:rRNA from 1 species
AGAACGAACGCUGGCGGCAUGCCUAAUACAUGCAAGUCGAACGAACUCUUCGGAGUUAGUGGCGCACGGGUGCGUAACGCGUGGGAAUCUGCCCCUUGGUUCGGAAUAACAGUUGGAAACGACUGCUAAUACCGGAUGAUGACGAAAGUCCAAAGAUUUAUCGCCAAGGGAUGAGCCCGCGUAGGAUUAGCUAGUUGGUGAGGUAAAGGCUCACCAAGGCAACGAUCCUUAGCUGGUCUGAGAGGAUGAUCAGCCACACUGGGACUGAGACACGGCCCAGACUCCUACGGAGGCAGCAGUA